CCUAACGCUAACCCCCCUGAACGCAUCUUUUCGUUAAGAUUUUUGAUAUUAUUGAUCAUUCAAACAACAGUGAUUGUAUCGUUAAAAACUUGUGGUAUUGAAAAGUAUCAAAACAAAAAGAAAACAACCUUACCAUAGCUUAGCAGCCCCCGUCAGAGGCCUUUAUAUUAAUCCCGUUCUAUUUCAGACUGAAGACAAACAUGCAGUGUCUUCUAU